AGCAUAUACACGUGCUGUCUAACGAAUCUGCUGCUACAUUGAUUGGUGCUUGCAUCAUGAUUUACAUUUGAGUGAGUGGCGAACUGGUGAGUAACACGUGGGAAACCUGCCCAGAAGCGGGGGAUAACACCUGGAAACAGAUGCUAAUACCGCAUAACAACUUGGACCGCAUGGUCCGAGCUUGAAAGAUGGCUUCGGCUAUCACUUUUGGAUGGUCCCGCGGCGUAUUAGCUAGAUGGUGGGGUAACGGCUCACCAUGGCAAUGAUACGUAGCCGACCUGAGAGGGUAAUCGGCCACAUUGGGACUGAGACACGGCCCAAACUCCUACGGGAGGCAGCAGUAGGGAAUCUUCCACAAUGGACGAAAGUCUGAUGGAGCAACGCCGCGUGAGUGAAGAAGGGUUUCGGCUCGUAAAACUCUGUUGUUAAAGAAGAACAUAUCUGAGAGUAACUGUUCAGGUAUUGACGGUAUUUAACCAGAAAGCCACGGCUAACUACGUGCCAGCAGCCGCGGUAAUACGUAGGUGGCAAGCGUUGUCCGGAUUUAUUGGGCGUAAAGCGAGCGCAGGCGGUUUUUUAAGUCUGAUGUGAAAGCCUUCGGCUCAACCGAAGAAGUGCAUCGGAAACUGGGAAACUUGAGUGCAGAAGAGGACAGUGGAACUCCAUGUGUAGCGGUGAAAUGCGUAGAUAUAUGGGAAGAACACCAGUGGCGAAGGCGACUGUCUGGUCUGUAACUGACGCUGAGGCUCGAAAGUAUGGGUAGCAAACAGGAUUAGAUACCCUGGUAGUCCAUACCGUAAACGAUGAAUGCUAAGUGUUGGAGGGUUUCCGCCCUUCAGUGCUGCAGCUAACGCAUUAAGCAUUCCGCCUGGGGAGUACGGCCGCAAGGCUGAAACUCAAAGGAAUUGACGGGGGCCCGCACAAGCGGUGGAGCAUGUGGUUUAAUUCGAAGCUACGCGAAGAACCUUACCAGGUCUUGACAUACUAUGCAAAUCUAAGAGAUUAGACGUUCCCUUCGGGGACAUGGAUACAGGUGGUGCAUGGUUGUCGUCAGCUCGUGUCGUGAGAUGUUGGGUUAAGUCCCGCAACGAGCGCAACCCUUAUUAUCAGUUGCCAGCAUUAAGUUGGGCACUCUGGUGAGACUGCCGGUGACAAACCGGAGGAAGGUGGGGAUGACGUCAAAUCAUCAUGCCCCUUAUGACCUGGGCUACACACGUGCUACAAUGGAUGGUACAACGAGUUGCGAACUCGCGAGAGUAAGCUAAUCUCUUAAAGCCAUUCUCAGUUCGGAUUGUAGGCUGCAACUCGCCUACAUGAAGUCGGAAUCGCUAGUAAUCGCGGAUCAGCAUGCCGCGGUGAAUACGUUCCCGGGCCUUGUACACACCGCCCGUCACACCAUGAGAGUUUGUAACACCCAAAGUCGGUGGGGUAACCUAAUAGGAACCAGCCGCCUAA
rnacentral:rRNA from 1 species